GACGAACGCUGACGGCGUGCUUAACACAUGCAAGUCGAAGGGAGUGGCGAACGGGUGAGUAACACGUGAGUAACCUGCCCUUUUCUUUGGGAUAAGCCUGGGAAACUGGGUCUAAUACUGGAUGGAUUGGGAUGGGCUCGCGGCUUAUCAGCUUGUUGGUGGGGUGAUGGCUUACCAAGGCUUUGACGGGUAGCCGGCCUGAGAGGGUGGUCGGUCACACUGGGACUGAGAUACGGCCCAGACUCCUACGGGAGGCAGCAGUAGGGAAUCUUCCGCAAUGGGCGAAAGCCUGACGGAGCAACGCCGCGUGAGUGAUGAAGGUCUUCGGAUCGUAAAACUCUGUUAUUAGGGAAGCGGUACCUAAUCAGAAAGCCACGGCUAACUACGUGCCAGCAGCCGCGGUAAUUC
rnacentral:rRNA from 1 species